rnacentral:rRNA from 1 species
UGCAAGUCGAGCGAUGAAGCUUCCUUCGGGGAGUGGAUUAGCGGCGGACGGGUGAGUAACACGUGGGUAACCUGCCUCAAAGAGGGGGAUAGCCUCCCGAAAGGGAGAUUAAUACCGCAUAACAUUAUUUUAUGGCAUCAUAGAAUAAUCAAAGGAGCAAUCCGCUUUGAGAUGGACCCGCGGCGCAUUAGCUAGUUGGUGAGGUAAGGGCUCACCAAGGCGACGAUGCGUAGCCGACCUGAGAGGGUGAUCGGCCACAUUGGAACUGAGACACGGUCCAGACUCCUACGGGAGGCAGCAGUGGGGAAUAUUGCGCAAUGGGGGAAACCCUGACGCAGCAACGCCGCGUGAGUGAUGAAGGUUUUCGGAUCGUAAAACUCUGUCUUUAGGGACGAUAAUGACGGUACCUAAGGAGGAAGCCACGGCUAACUACGUGCCAGCAGCCGCGGUAAUACGUAGGUGGCAAGCGUUGUCCGGAUUUACUGGGCGUAAAGAGUAUGUAGGUGGGUGCUUAAGUCAGAUGUGAAAUUCCCGGGCUUAACCUGGGCGCUGCAUUUGAAACUGGGCAUCUAGAGUGCAGGAGAGGAAAGUGGAAUUCCUAGUGUAGCGGUGAAAUGCGUAGAGAUUAGGAAGAACACCAGUGGCGAAGGCGACUUUCUGGACUGUAACUGACACUGAGAUACG